rnacentral:rRNA from 1 species
UUCACUUUGUUCCGGUUGUUGAGGAAGCCCCAGCAGAUUGGCAAGGGAAAGUCGGUAAUGUACUACAAGCCGUGAGUGAUGAUUUCGAAAGCCUAGAAAACUACGAUAUCUAUAUUGCAGGUCGUUUUGAAAUGGCGGGCGCAGCACGUGAGCAAUUCACUCAGAAUAAAAAAGCGAAGAGUGAACGUAUGUUUGCAGACGCGUACGCAUUCAUUUAAAUUCCGCGUUUCAGGCAGAAAAAGAGGGUUUUUUACCCUCUUUUUUGCUUUUUUGACGAAAUAGUCAUCGAACAGCUAGUUUUAUCCAUUUUUUUUCAAAAAAGGGUUGCGCUCGGAACUCAACUCCCUAUAAUGCGCAUCCACCGACACGGCAGACGCGAUAAGGCUUCAGCAGGGUCGGAGAGGUGAAAAGCUUCUGAGAAAAUAAAUUGAAAAAAGUGUUUGACUCUUUCAAUUAUCUCGCUAGAAUGCACCUCCGCUUUGAGAGAAAAGUUUUUCGCAGAGCAAGCUCUUUAACAAUAUAGACCUAUCAAUCUGUGUGGGCACUCGUUGAUGAUAAUCCAAUUAGAUAUUUAUUUCUUAACGGAAAG